ACCCUACGGGUGGCAGCAGUAAGGAAUAUUGGGCAAUGGACGAAAGUCUGACCCAGCCAUGCCGCGUGCAGGAUGAAGGCCUUAUGGGUUGUAAACUGCUUUUAUACGGGAAAAAACCCUUCGACGUGUCGGAGGCUGAUGGUACCGUAAGAAUAAGGAUCGGCUAACUCCGUGCCAGCAGCCGCGGUAAUACGGAGGAUCCAAGCGUUAUCCGGAUUUAUUGGGUUUAAAGGGUGCGUAGGCGGAAUUGUAAGUCAGUGGUGAAAUCCUACAGCUUAACUGUAGAACGGCCAUUGAUACUGCAAAUCUUGAGUACAUUUGAAGUGGGCGGAAUGUGUCAUGUAGCGGUGAAAUGCUUAGAUAUGACACAGAACACCGAUUGCGAAGGCAGCUCACUAAACUGUAACUGACGCUGAGGCACGAAAGCGUGGGGAGCAAACAGGAUUAGAUACCCUUGUAGUCCCG
rnacentral:rRNA from 1 species